rnacentral:pre_miRNA from 1 species
GACAAAGGGAGUAUAAGUUUCCAUGUCCAACUUUGAUCUUUCGUCUUAUUUGAAAUUUUUCUAUAAUUAGCAUACUUAUUGUUAUUAGAUGAUAAAAUAUGAGUAAUACUUUAUGCAUAUUUUUUUAAAAAAAUAAAACUAACGAUUAAAAUUAGUCAUGUAAAUACGCAUGGAUA